rnacentral:rRNA from 1 species
AUUGAACGCUGGCGGCAUGCCUUACACAUGCAAGUCGAACGGCAGCACGGGAGCAAUCCUGGUGGCGAGUGGCGAACGGGUGAGUAAUAUAUCGGAACGUGCCCAGUCGUGGGGAUAACGUAGCGAAAGCUACGCUAAUACCGCAUACGAUCUAUGGAUGAAAGCGGGGGAUCGCAAGACCUCGCGCGAUUGGAGCGGCCGAUAUCAGAUUAGGUAGUUGGUGAGGUAAAGGCUCACCAAGCCGACGAUCUGUAGCUGGUCUGAGAGGACGACCAGCCACACUGGGACUGAGACACGGCCCAGACUCCUACGGGAGGCAGCAGUGGGGAAUUUUUGGACAAUGGGCGCAAGCCUGAUCCAGUAAUGCCGCGUGCAGGAUGAAGGCCUUC